GAUGAACGCUGGCGGCGUGCCUAAUACAUGCAAGUCGAGCGAACGGACGAGAAGCUUGCUUCUCUGAUGUUAGCGGCGGACGGGUGAGUAACACGUGGAUAACCUACCUAUAAGACUGGGAUAACUUCGGGAAACCGUAGCUAAUACCGGAUAAUAUUUUGAACCGCAUGGUUCAAAAGUGAAAGACGGUCUUGCUGUCACUUAUAGAUGGAUCCGCGCUGCAUUAGCUAGUUGGUAAGGUAACGGCUUACCAAGGCAACGAUGCAUAGCCUACCUGAGAGGGUGAUCGGCCACACUGGAACUGAGACACGGUCCAGACUCCUACGGGAGGCAGCAGUAGGGAAUCUUCCGCAAUGGGCGAAAGCCUGACGGAGCAACGCCGCGUGAGUGAUGAAGGUCUUCGGAUCGUAAAACUCUGUUAUUAGGGAAGAACAUAUGUGUAAGUAACUGUGCACAUCUUGACGGUACCUAAUCAGAAAGCCACGGCUAACUACGUG
rnacentral:rRNA from 1 species